rnacentral:rRNA from 1 species
AUUGAACGCUGGCGGCAGGCCUAACACAUGCAAGUCGGGCGAGCCGCGGACGGGUGUGUAAUUUAUGGGGAUCUGCCUGAUGGCGGGGGAUAACUUCUGGAACCCGUAGCUAAUACCGCAUAACAUCAUAUGAUCCCAUAGUGGAUUAGCUAGUAGGUAAGGUAACGGCGUACCGAGGCGACGAUCCCUAGCUGGGCUGAGAGGAUGAUCAGCCACACGGGGACUUAGACACGGCCCAGACUCCUACGGGAGGCAGCAGUGGGGAAUAUUGCACAAUGGGCGCAAGCCUGAUGCAGCCAUGCCGCGUGUAUGAAGAAGGCCUUCGGGUUGUAAAGUACUUUCAGUCGGGAGGCGUUACCGACAGAAGAAGCACCGGCUAACUCCGUGCCAGCAGCCGCGGUAAUUG